AAUACAUGCAAGUCGAGCGGACAGAUGGGAGCUUGCUCCUGAUGUUAGCGGCGGACGGGUGAGUAACACGUGGGUAACCUGCCUGUAAGACUGGGAUAACUCCGGGAAACCGGGGCUAAUACCGGAUGGUUGUUUGAACCGCAUGGUUCAAACAUAAAAGGUGGCUUCGGCUACCACUUACAGAUGGACCCGCGGCGCAUUAGCUAGUUGGUGAGGUAAUGGCUCACCAAGGCAACGAUGCGUAGCCGACCUGAGAGGGUGAUCGGCCACACUGGGACUGAGACACGGCCCAGACUCCUACGGGAGGCAGCAGUAGGGAAUCUUCCGCAAUGGACGAAAGUCUGACGGAGCAACGCCGCGUGAGUGAUGAAGGUUUUCGGAUCGUAAAGCUCUGUUGUUAGGGAAGAACAAGUACCGUUCGAAUAGGGCGGUACCUUGACGGUACCUAACCAGAAAGCCACGGCUAACUACGUGCCAGCAGCCGCGGUAAUACGUAGGUGGCAAGCGUUGUCCGGAAUUAUUGGGCGUAAAGGGCUCGCAGGCGGUUUCUUAAGUCUGAUGUGAAAGCCCCCGGCUCAACCGGGGAGGGUCAUUGGAAACUGGGGAACUUGAGUGCAGAAGAGGAGAGUGGAAUUCCACGUGUAGCGGUGAAAUGCGUAGAGAUGUGGAGGAACACCAGUGGCGAAGGCGACUCUCUGGUCUGUAACUGACGCUGAGGAGCGAAAGCGUGGGGAGCGAACAGGAUUAGAUACCCUGGUAGUCCACGCCGUAAACGAUGAGUGCUAAGUGUUAGGGGGUUUCCGCCCCUUAGUGCUGCAGCUAACGCAUUAA
rnacentral:rRNA from 1 species